CCGUAGAUGAACGCUGGCGGCAUGCCUUACACAUGCAAGUCGAACGGCAGCACGGGAGCAAUCCUGGUGGCGAGUGGCGAACGGGUGAGUAAUACAUCGGAACGUGUCCUGUAGUGGGGGAUAGCCCGGCGAAAGCCGGAUUAAUACCGCAUACGCUCUACGGAGGAAAGGGGGGGAUCUUAGGACCUCCCGCUACAGGGGCGGCCGAUGGCAGAUUAGCUAGUUGGUGGGGUAAAGGCCUACCAAGGCGACGAUCUGUAGCUGGUCUGAGAGGACGACCAGCCACACUGGGACUGAGACACGGCCCAGACUCCUACGGGAGGCAGCAGUGGGGAAUUUUGGACAAUGGGGGAAACCCUGAUCCAGCAAUGCCGCGUGUGUGAAGAAGGCCUUCGGGUUGUAAAGCACUUUUGUCCGGAAAGAAAACCUCUGGGUUAAUACCCCGGGGGGAUGACGGUACCGGAAGAAUAAGCACCGGCUAACUACGUGCCAGCAGCCGCGGUAAUACGUAGGGUGCAAGCGUUAAUCGGAAUUACUGGGCGUAAAGCGUGCGCAGGCGGUCCGCUAAGACAGAUGUGAAAUCCCCGGGCUUAACCUGGGAACUGCAUUUGUGACUGGCGGGCUAGAGUAUGGCAGAGGGGGGUAGAAUUCCACGUGUAGCAGUGAAAUGCGUAGAGAUGUGGAGGAAUACCGAUGGCGAAGGCAGCCCCCUGGGCCAAUACUGACGCUCAUGCACGAAAGCGUGGGGAGCAAACAGGAUUAGAUACCCUGGUAGUCCACGCCCUAAACGAUGUCAACUAGUUGUCGGGUCUUCAUUGACUUGGUAACGUAGCUAACGCGUGAAGUGACCGCCG
rnacentral:rRNA from 1 species